UGACCUCGGAUCAGACGUGAUUACCCGCUGAAUUUAAGCAUAUUAUUAAGCGGAGGAAAAGAAACUAACAAGGAUUCCCCUAGUAACGGCGAGUGAACGGGGAAGAGCCCAACACCGAAUCCCUUGGCGCAAGUCAACGGGAAAUGUGGUGUUAAGGUAGCCCUUCGUGUCAGUCUAGGCGUCUCAAGUCCACCUGAUUGUGGCUCAAGCCCAGAGAGGGUGUAAGGCCCGUAGAGACGCUCCGACUGAUUCCUGGGGUUUACCUACGAGUCGGCUUGUUUGGGAAUGCAGGCCAAAGCGGGUGGUAAACUCCAUCCAAGGCUAAAUACUGGCACGAGUCCGAUAGCGGACAAGUACCGUGAGGGAAAGUUGAAAAGAACUUUGAAGAGAGAGUUCAAUAGUACGUGAAACCGCUUAGAGGCAAACGGAUGGUGCUCAUACUGGCCUGAGGAAUUCAACUGUGACGGUGGCUGGACGAGCUGGCGUUCCGAUCUCUCUUUUGGGACGGGCGUCGGUUUGGCUAUCAGCUCCGACAUGGUGCACUUUCCUUGGUGCCUCCGCCACGACCGACGACACUGGCUACCCGCGGCUGGGGUAAGGUGACAAACUGCUUCGGCAAUUUGUGUUAUAGACCCCGGCGUCGGACAUGGUUUGGCCAGGACGUCGAGCUUGCGGCGCCCGCUCCUUGUGGGCUCGCAUGUUGGCUAGCUUGGCUGCGCCGAUGCUUGCACUGGACAACCAGUACAGGUGACGGUUGUGGUCUUGUCUCUAGUUGGCCUCUGCGAGUUUGGCGCCUAUAGUCUGUGGUGUACUUGUGGGUAGACUAUCCGACCCGUCUUGAAACACGGACCAAGGAGUCUAACAUGUGCGCGAGUCAUGGGGAUUCUACGAAACCCAAAGGCGCAGUGAAAGUAAAGGCCUGCUUCUCGUAGGCUGAGGUGGGAUCUCGUGCAUCGCGAUUGGCGAGCGCACCACGGGCCCGUCCUAUCUGUCUCUGUCAGUGGGGCGGCGCAAGAGCGUACACGUUGGGACCCGAAAGAUGGUGAACUAUGCUUGCGCAGCUCGAAGUCAGUGGAAACACUGAUGG
rnacentral:ncRNA from 1 species